rnacentral:rRNA from 1 species
UACAGAGGUCCCAAGCGUUGUUCGGAUUCACUGGGCGUAAAGGGUGCGUAGGCGGCGCGGUAAGUCGGGUGUGAAAUCUCGGAGCUUAACUCCGAAACUGCAUUCGAUACUGCCGUGCUUGAGGACUGGAGAGGAGACUGGAAUUUACGGUGUAGCGGUGGAAUGCGCAGAUAUCAGGAGGAACACCGAUGGCGAAGGCAGCUCGCUGGGACGGUACUGACGCUGAGGCGCGAAAGCGUGGGGAGCGAACAGG